CACACGGUAUUCUUUAGU
rnacentral:snRNA from 1 species